ensembl:lncRNA
GCUGAAGUCAGCUUCCUCCAUGUGAGCUUCACAACAUCAACAGAACACCACAGAGCUAACAGGCGACUAAACCGAUCCGUUUAACGGUGGACACGAGGAGUCCAGCCGGGCAAUGAGCUAGCAGUGCACAGGAGUCACGCUCCAGAGGAGCUGAUUGGCAAAAUGCUGCGCAGGCUGAAUCCCUGGCCCGCUUUCAGACUCCAGCGGGGCCGCCGGCGGGGGGACCGGCCCGCUGUGAACAGACCCAGAUCCGACUGCAGCCGGCACAAAUUGAGGCUGAAACGUCUGGAAGCAUUAGAUGAUCAGUGCAGCUCCACCGGACUCCACGACAUGAACAGCCCUAUUGCAUCCUGAAGUAACGCGUGUUGGAAAAAUGAUUCAAUACUGAAGUUGACACAGCUAUUUGGGUUGAGGCUGAAAAGCGUGUUGGAUAUCUCAACCCAGUCCUGUCGCAGCAGAUGUUGACUCUCCAGCUGUGGGGGGACUCCUGCUAUAACCGACACCGAUUGGGGCGUGGAUAAAAAGUGCAGCAACAGUUUUCUGCCUACUUGAAGUUGAAUCACCCCUCAAAGCCC